UUAGAAUUCAGGUAAAAAAUUGCUAUGGGUCACUACUGGAGGCCUAUUGUGUGUCAGCCUUCCCAAACCAGACAGAAAACACAACCAGAUUCCACUCUAUUUUUCUGAAAGGUUUUCUUCACAUCUCGUUCGUCAUUAGGAAUCUGGCAAGCUUCCUAAGAAGUCACAUUGUGUUUACAGAGGGCCAAUGUGGCAUGUUUUCCAAGAUUUGCUUGAGUGCAGUUGUGGAGGGAUCAAUGUCUGAAUGGCAAGAACAUUGGCUGGUCAGCUUGGAGAGCAAUAAUUGAUGGGAUGGCUUGUUCAGCAAACUUUCCAGCAUCACUCACUCAUUGACCAAGACAGUAUCACAACAGCAAGAUUUAGUGUAACAGUAGGUGCUGAUCUUCUGGAAGAACUCAAUGAAACAAGAAUAAUAAAUGUUAGAUAGCAAGAUUAUAUAUAAUUGGCUACUGCUGUGCUUUUAAGAGCACUUGGAAAAGAGCACAAAACCCUGGCUCAGUGGAAGAAUCUCCUUUCUGAAUAAAA